rnacentral:rRNA from 1 species
AUAUAUUGUAUUUUUGAUAAUAAAAAAUCUGAUCUCGUCCGAUCUCAGAAGCUAAGCAGGGUCGGGCCUGGUUAGUUCUUGGAUGGGAGACCGCCUGGGAAUACCAGGUGCUGUAAGCU